GUUUUAAAGCAUCUGUUUUGUUCCCUAUAAAAAACGCACACCAAAGUAUCUUUGUGGAGACAUACUUUGCCAAUUGAUGUCAGCUCCCUCAUCAGUUUCUAGUCACGGCACCCUGCAGUUGUGCUUGCUUGUGGAACAGUCUCCUCAAAUGACUCAUUCUCCUCAUGGAUAAGUUCAAUCCAGAGUCCACUGGAGCAAUGGGAAAGAAUUCCAUCGAUUUUGAUGGGCUUUGCAUCAUGCCCUGAAACUGCCUUACACGUGUUUUGCUGGCAAACUGGCACCCCACAGAGAGCUCUCACAUACUCUCAUAAAAGACGGUCUCUCUCAGUGUUUCUUUUUUGUUCCAUAAAUGCACAGAAUGUUUAAUUGCUUUACCGAAUAAAGAACUGGUCUU